CCUACGGGUGGCAGCAGUGGGGAAUAUUGGACAAUGGGGGGAACCCUGAUCCAGCCAUGCCGCGUGUGUGAAGAAGGCCCUCGGGUUGUAAAGCACUUUCAGUGAGGAAGAACGCCUGGUGGUUAAUACCCAUCAGGAAAGACAUCACUCACAGAAGAAGCACCGGCUAACUCCGUGCCAGCAGCCGCGGUAAUACGGAGGGUGCGAGCGUUAAUCGGAAUUACUGGGCGUAAAGCGCGCGUAGGUGGCUUGAUAAGCCGGUUGUGAAAGCCCCGGGCUCAACCUGGGAACGGCAUCCGGAACUGUCAAGCUAGAGUGCCGGAGAGGAAGGUAGAAUUCCAGGUGUAGCGGUGAAAUGCGUAGAGAUCGGGAGGAAUACCAGUGGCGAAGGCGGCCUUCUGGACUGACACUGACACUGAGGUGCGAAAGCGUGGGUAGCAAACAGGAUUAGAUACCCGUGUAGUC
rnacentral:rRNA from 1 species